AGCAGGCGAAAGAUGCCCGGAUAACGUUGCAUGGAAUAAUGGAAUAGGACCUCGGUUUGUAUUUUGUUGGUUUCGAGAACUGGAGGUAAUGACUAAGAGGGACUGCCGGGGGCAUUCGUAUCGUGGUGUUAGAGGUGAAAUUCUUGGAUCGCCGCAAGACGAACUACUGCGAAAGCAUUUGCCAAGAAUGUUUUCAUUAAUCAAGAACGAAAGUCAGAGGUUCGAAGACGAUCAGAUACCGUCCUAGUUCUGACCAUAAACGAUGCCGACUAACGAUGCGCCGGAGUUGUUUCCAUGACCCGGCGGGCAGUUUCCGGGAAACCAAAGCGUUUGGGUUCCGGGGGAAGUAUGGUUGCAAAGCUGAAACUUAAAGGAAUUGACGGAAGGGCACCACCAGGAGUGGAGCCUGCGGCUUAAUUUGACUCAACACAGGAAAACUCACCCGGCCCGGA
rnacentral:rRNA from 1 species